UAGGCUUUACCUACAAAGGAUUUAUCUUGAUAGGGUAAAAUAUGACAAGCCUAU
rnacentral:tRNA from 1 species